rnacentral:rRNA from 1 species
UGGGGAAUAUUGGACAAUGGGCGAAAGCCUGAUCCAGCCAUGCCGCGUGUGUGAAGAAGGUCUUCGGAUUGUAAAGCACUUUAAGUUGGGAGGAAGGGCAGUAAGCGAAUACCUUGCUGUUUUGACGUUACCGACAGAAUAAGCACCGGCUAACUCUGUGCCAGCAGCCGCGGUAAUACAGAGGGUGCAAGCGUUAAUCGGAAUUACUGGGCGUAAAGCGCGCGUAGGUGGUUCGUUAAGUUGAAUGUGAAAGCCCCGGGCUCAACCUGGGAACUGCAUCCAAAACUGGCGAGCUAGAGUAGGGCAGAGGGUGGUGGAAUUUCCUGUGUAGCGGUGAAAUGCGUCAAAAUAGGAAGGAACACCAGUAGCGAACGCGACCACCUGGGCUCAUACUGACACUGAGGUGCGAACGCGUGGGGAGCAAACAGG